AUAAACAAAGUAUCUGUUACAAUUUAGUUACAUUAAAUAGGACCUAUUAAUAAGGUGUUUAUA
rnacentral:tRNA from 1 species